rnacentral:lncRNA from 1 species
CUCAGUUUGGGUUUUAUCUCAUCUUCUCUUCUUUUGUUCCUUCUGAUUCUCUUUUGUACAGGCCAUAACUUCUCGCUUUCUUAUUUAGGAUGUCAAACAGAUUUCUAAAUGAAAAUCACUUUCAGAGGCAGCAGUUGGGAGAGGCUGAAUCAGGGGCUGCUGGCCAAGUACCAUUUAAAGCUAGAAAUGCUUCAUUGAUUUUUAUCGAUACCGCAUCAGCCUGUUCUCCACUCCUCCAGCCUCCGACUGCAGGAUUUCCCAAGGCACAGGUUUUGGUUGGCUGCUCAGUCUUCAGUCUAGAUUAAUGUACUCUUACACCUUCACAUCCGGUACCUGGGAGCUCCAGGCUAACAAGAAAUAAGAAAAUGGACCAACUGCUGAGUCUAAUUUCCUCCUAAUGGAUGAGAAUAUGUUAUAAGCUGUGGCCCAUGUCUGCAGAAAAGCAUACAGCUAGCCAAUGCAUGAAGAAUUUUGCAUAGUUUCAAGGCACCCAUGGAUCUGUCUAAAAGAUUUCUGCAUCUCAGGAUAAGAAUUCCUGUCAUAUUUAUAUGUGUGUUAGGCACUGGAGAAGCAGAUAUUAAUCAAAAAAUCAUAUAGACAAAUGUAAAUUACCACUGUAAUUUUAGGUGCAUAACAGGUUGGUUGUCCUAGGCAGAGAGGUCCCAGAAGGCUUUUCUGGCAAAGUGAUGAUUGGGGUGAAGUCAAACAGAAGGGUAGAGAGAGUCCAGAUAGAGGAAAUAGCCUGAAAAAAAGUUCUGUGGCCAGGAGGCAUAGGCAUAUUUAGGGAAUGGAAAGGCUAGUGUGGCUGAUGGACAGAGAAUGAGGGAGAGGAAA